GAGGUGGCAAGCGUUGUCCGGAAUUAUUGGGGCGUAAAGCGCGCGCAGGCGGUUCUUUAAGUCUGAUGUGAAAGCCCACGGGCUCAACCGUGGAGGGGUCAUUGGAAACUGGAGAACUUGAGUACAGAAGAGGAAAGCGGAAUUCCACGUGUAGCGGUGAAAUGCGUAGAGAUGUGGAGGAACACCAGUGGCGAAGGCGGCUUUCUGGUCUGUAACUGACGCUGAGGCGCGAAAGCGUGGGGAGCAAACAGGAUUAGAUACCCUGGUAGUCCACGCCGUAAACGAUGAGUGCUAAGUGUUAGGGGGGUUUCCGCCCCUUAGUGCUGCAGCUAACGCAUUAAGCACUCCGCCUGGGGAGUACGGCCGCAAAGGCUGA
rnacentral:rRNA from 1 species